GAUGAACGCUAGCGACAGGCUUAACACAUGCAAGUCGAGGGGCAUCGCGGGCGUGGCAACACGCCUGGCGGCGACCGGCGCACUGGUGAGUAACGCGUAUCCAACCUUCCCCUUAGUAGGGCACAGCCCGGCGAAAGUCGGAUUAAUUCCCUAUGUUGUUUGAUGCUGACAUCAAAAUCAAACCAAAGAUUCAUCGCUAAGGGAUGGGGAUGCGUCUGAUUAGGCAGUCGGCGGGGUAACGGCCCACCGAGCCGACGAUCAGUAGGGGUUCUGAGAGGAAGGUCCCCCACAUUGGUACUGAGACACGGACCAAACUCC
rnacentral:rRNA from 1 species